AAUCUCCCGCAGAUAUCACCUCCCCCGAUUUCUCCCCUUUUCUUCUUUCUUUUCCUUCCCCACGAAGCCUUGAAACCCACACCGAUCUCUCUCUCUCUGCCCACGCGACCACAUUUCUUCUCCCCUGCUUUUCGGCAGCCGCCGCCCCUUUGUCCACAAAAUCCACAUCGCCUUGAGUGGGGUUCGCCGUGAGGCACUUCGGAUGAGAUGCGCGCUGCCGGGAAGGUCGUCCUGUGCUGAUCCGCCGCCGCCUCUUUCCCCGGAAAAUCUACAUCGCCGUCCUGCCCGUUGCGGACAGGAGAGCGGGGUGGUGGCGAGGGGGAGAGGCGGGUUGAUUGGGCGGCGCCGCGUCGCAGUGUUUGAGGUGGCUAGAGGAGGGCGGCGCUGCGUCGCUGUGUUUGAGGUGGCUAGAGGAGGGUAAACUCCUCUCCCACUGCGGAACAGUCCACGGUGCCGUCACCGUCGUCCUGAUUCCUUGGACGCCACCGACGCAAGCGACAAGAGAAGCUCGGCUUGUGGCGGAGGCGGGUAUUGCUGGAGCAGAGGCGCCCUUCGUUUUUCGUCCUCUUGUUCGUGGGAAGGCGUCGGAUGAGGAAGUAUGAGAACGGGCGAAAAAGGAGAUGGGGAAGGGUGGCGUGUUAUGGGACGCCUUGGACCACCCCGUCGCCACCUACAAGGUAUGCGCCCUGGUCCCCUUUUGAUCCUCUUGCCCUUUCCUCCUUGCUGGUGGCGUGUCAGGUCCUACGCGAUUUACAACUGUGGAUCUCACAAAUUGUAAGGGGAAAUCAUGGCAAUUGCUGGAUCUGGAGUAUAUGAUCUGUAGGAGGAGCAGUGUUCGUAUAUAGGUUCAUGCCAUUAGGCUAGAAUGGGGAAUUCCCAAUGGUCAACUACAGCCACAACCCGGCUUAGUUAUAGGUGUACUUUUAUUACCCGCCAGCUCAACAACAACUGAACAGUAAACAGGACAGGUAACAGUAAAUCAGACGGUCCAGCGAUGAUGUAAAACGAGGAGCUCAUCGUAGCCGUCAGAUGUUGAUGAAGCUGUAUGUCCCGGAAGAGCUACACCUAACUGAAGAUAGGUGCAGCCUGACAUGGCGUUCUGGUACUCCUCACUGAGAUCCCUCAAGCUACAUCAUUGAUAAUUGAACAUGUAUUUAAUUAGAUAAUUCAGUUAACCAGUGUGCAUCUACUUAAUUCGGUUAUACUAUAUGUACUAAUUCAUGCAAAGAAGGGACUAAUUGUUGACAAACAUACCUGCCAUGCAUAUAUCAUACUAUGCCUUGGAAAAUAAUUUUGUUUUGUGCAUUUUUUAUGCAUGCCAUGCAUAUAUCAUGUGAAUGAUUGAACAAGUUUAGUUAAUAAGAUCUUAUCUGUUGGAGACUUGGAGUCAACUGCACCAGAUUUACAGUAACAAGCGCUAGCUUCUACUAAAAAAAUGAGGUGUUCAUAGUCACAUAAUGUUUCAUAGAUUCACUACAAAACUGUAAGUUAUGAACUUAUGCUCGCUCAUAUAAAUCUGCUCAUGCACGAAUGUCUGCUGAAUUAAUUAAUAUAAGCUAGCAGCUGCCACGCGUGUACAUGCAUGUUGUUAUCAGCAAUUCAGCAUCGACCUGUCUGAAUAAUGAGCUUGAAUAUAAUCUCGUAAUAAGAACAAAGUGAGUUUACUAAAUGCAUGGUUUAUUUUGCCGACAGAUUAGCACACAGUUAACUUGAUCCACAACAAAAAAUGCGAUGACAUGCAUGUUCGACAAGAAGACGAUCAACACCACUCUCCCUAAACAGAUCGUAAGAUCACACUAAGAGGUAGAAGACCCCAUGCUAGAAAAAAUACAGAUUCAGUUCUUACUUAGGAAGGAACAAUCAACGACAUACUAAUUAAAUAGCUGCUGGUAGAUCCAUUUCUCCAAAGUACUCAAAAAAAAGAAGUUGUAAUUUGAUGGAAUAAUUAACUAUGUUCUCUUUUAUUUCUCGAAUCAUGUCUGUUCGCACAAGUACUAUGUACACAGGAGCACAUGGUCUAUACUGCUACAAAUUGUGGUUAGCUUUCGAUCUGCUAUUCAAGUUACUGUAUGUACCCUGACCGAGAAGAUAAUUUUUUCAGGCAAGAAGGAUGGUAUGGAAUCGACAGGUGAUCCGGUUAUGUUUAUUUACGUUACAUGUGGUGAAUGAGUAUGAAUCUAUCGUUCAACUUACGUAUCCCUGGACACUAUUCUCUUAUAUAAUGCUUCUUUGUUGAUCAUCCACUAUUAGUCAUCCGUUCACAUUGUCAGGACUCAUGAUCCAGUUAGUUGCGGCUAGAAAUGGCGACUACUGCUUUCUUUUUAAUGAAAUUAGUAACAAUUGAUAAAAAUCUAAAACUAGAUCUUGCUAUUUCUUUUUCCAAACAAAUGAUAAUGAUGUAAUUUUGUGCUAUAAACUAAAUUUAUUGUCCAGAUGAUAAUUCACUUUCCUUUUCACUUUUUGAGGUGAGAUAGAUGGACCGUAAUAGGACUUGUGUUUACUCAUUUUUGUUGUUUUCUUUUCCGUAUGAGUCUUUCUUUUCCAUGUUGAGUCAAAUGCCCUAGAUAUUUUUUUCUUUUACUUUUCAGGUUUCCUGGAACCAAUAGAUGGAGGGGGGUGCUAGGGUUGUGUUGGGGUCGGAUGAAUUGCUCUGUCGAAUUUGUUCGCUGUUGUGUAGUAGUAUGUACAACAUAAUUGUAACGGCCCCUUUUUGUUUCAUGAAUUAGAUGUAGUUUUCCGUGCAAAUUAUGUACAACAUAAUUUGCUGUGUAGUAGUAUGUACAACAUAAUUGUAACGGUCCCUUUCGGAUGAAUUGCUCUGGUUGAAUAGAUCGAUUAAAUUUGCUCCUUUACUUUUUAUGUGAAAGAACUCUGGGGUUCUCCCACAUUUAUGCAUAUAUUACUGCUCGUUUGCAUUGGGCUAAUUGAUUUUGACGGCUUGUAGGCAAUGCACGGUAAGAACAACCAAGCUGCUCCAUCUGAGAAACAAGAGUCAGAAGAUGUAGCUACUGUUGCAGAAGAACCUGUCUGUACUGAAGUAGCAGAUGAAACUUGUUCCUAGCAGAUUUGAAAAUUUUGGAGAGCAGAUAGAUUGCAGCAGUACAGCCUAUCGCAUGAUGGAGAAAAGGAGCGUAGAGAAGAACAUUUGGCUUGAGCUGGAACGUGAGGUGCUUCACACCUUAGGGAUUUCAUCUACUGAAUGGACUUAACCAACAAGGACAUAGAAGCACUCUUGGGUGGACAUACUCUGUUUUAGGAGAAAAGCUCCUCCGGAUAGCUCGGGAUUCGACUACACUUGGACAAAAGAUCCUCUGAAGUUUGAUAACUCCUACUUCAUUGAGCUUCUGAAAGGGGACUCCAACGGACUCAUGAAGCUGCUUACAGACAAGGACGCGUUCUUCAGGGACUACGCGAAGUCGCACAAGAAGCUUUCCAAGCUCUACUUUACUGGCGUGGACAUGCAGAGACAAAGCCAAGAGGGCUGUCAUAAGAACUAUCAUUGUCUUCCCAGUUGCGGUUGUCGUCAUCGCCUGCGCUUACAUCUUUGAAUCAAAGAGAAGGCUCAGUGGUUAGACUGCAAGUCUCCAUGUUCAGACGAUUGCGAUUCAGUUAUGGGUUCUGAAGAACAAAGUUAAUCGUCCAUUGAGAUGUUGUGCACUCGUAGUUGUAACUAAUCUGUUGAUACAGUGACGAUGCUACCAUCCAUGUAAUACUAGUAUAAAUGCCCGUGCGUUGCAACGGGCGAUAAAAUUAAUAGAACCUGCCCUGUGUGUCAUUCCGCAACA